rnacentral:misc_RNA from 2 species
AUUUCUCAAACUUGUCAUUUUUCAUGACAAGGCUUGGACUUGGGGGUUUUGCAGGCUUCAACCCAAUGAAGUUGGCUCCCCUUAAAUGCAUUAGCCGGAAAACUCUCCGUCUAUUGGUGUGAUAAUUAUCUACAUCGUGGACAGGCAGUAAUGGGUUUUCUGCUUCAAACCGUCCUUAGGGACAACAAUGACCA